ACGAGUCCCAAAUAGAACGAAAUGCGCAUCCUGGAU
rnacentral:hammerhead_ribozyme from 1 species